UACGUAGGGGGCAAGCGUUGUCCGGAAUUAUUGGGCGUAAAGAGCGCGUAGGCGGUCCGGUAAGUCGGUUGUGAAAGUCAGAGGCUCAACCUCUGGAGGCCAAUGGAUACUGCCGGGCUAGAGUCCGGAAGAGGCGAGUGGAAUUCCUGGUGUAGCGGUGGAAUGCGCAGAUAUCAGGAGGAACACCGGUGGCGAAGGCGGGUCUCUGGGCAGUAACUGACGCUGAGGAGCGAAAGCGUGGGGAGCGAACAGG
rnacentral:rRNA from 1 species